CCUACGGGCGGCUGCAGUAGGGAAUAUUGCUCAAUGGGCGAAACCCUGAAGCAGCAACGUCGCGUGGAGGAUGACGGUUUUAGGAUUGUAAACUUCUUUUUUUAGAGAAGUUUAUGACGGCAUCUUACGCUUAAUCACAGACUAACUCCGUGCCAGCAGCCGUGGUAAGACGGAGGGUGCAAGCGUUACUCGGAAUCACUGGGCGUAAAGAGUGCGUAGGCGGUGUAAUAAGUCAGAGGUGAAAUCCUGUAGCUUAACUACAGAAUUGCAUUUGAAACUGUUACUCUGGAGUGUGGGAGAGGUAGGUGGAAUUCUUGGUGUAGGGGUAAAAUCCGUAGAGAUCAAGAGGAAUACUCAUUGCGAAGGCGACCUGCUGGAACAUUACUGACGCUGAUGCACGAAAGCGUGGGGAGCAAACAGGAUUAGAUACCCCAGUAGUC
rnacentral:rRNA from 1 species